rnacentral:rRNA from 1 species
AUGUCUUGCUGCAUGCCAUCUUACGUUGCAUUUUUAUUGGAAGAUGCAAGUUUGAGAUUUAAGUUCUGCACACUGGCAAGAACAGUGCAUUUUCUUUUUCGGACUCAGAUAUGCUGUAACAUGUUUUUUCUUCUCAUUACUGUAUGUUUACAAAAUGCGCAGAGUCCAGAUGGAGGCAUCAUCGAUUGCGUGCACAUAUCACAACAACCUGCCUUUGUUCAUCGUCCCCUCAAGAAACAUGCUCUUCAGGAAGCUAUACUCACAGCUUGUUGGUAUUGCCGAUUAACAACGGUGCUAUGUCUAUAUUGGCCAUUACUUUGA